rnacentral:rRNA from 1 species
UACGUAGGGUGCGAGCGUUAAUCGGAAUUACUGGGCGUAAAGCGUGCGCAGGCGGUUUUGUAAGCCAGAUGUGAAAUCCCCGGGCUUAACCUGGGAAUUGCAUUUGUGACUGCACGGCUAGAGUGUGUCAGAGGGGGGUAGAAUUCCACGUGUAGCAGUGAAAUGCGUAGAUAUGUGGAGGAAUACCGAUGGCGAAGGCAGCCCCCUGGGAUAACGACUGACGCUCAUGCACGAAAGCGUGGGGAGCAAACAGG